UCCUCCUUUCUGAAGAACUGUAAUGCCAUUAAUUUGGUGUUGCAGGGAAACAGGACUGUUACUUUGAAAAAAUUAGAGUGUUUAAAGCAGGCUAACGCUUGAAUACAUUAGCAUGGAAUAAUGAAAUAGGACGUUUGAUCCUAUUUUGUUGGUUUCUAGGAUUGACGUAAUGAUUAAUAGGGAUAGUUGGGGGCAUUAGUAUUCAAUUGUCAGAGGUGAAAUUCUUGGAUUUAUUGAAGACUAACUACUGCGAAAGCAUUUGCCAAGGAUGUUUUCAUUAAUCAAGAACGAAAGUUAGGGGAUCGAAGACGAUCAGAUACCGUCGUAGUCUUAACCAUAAACUAUGCCGACUAGGGAUCGGAUGAUGUUAAUUUUUUAAUGACUCAUUCGGCGCCUUACG
rnacentral:rRNA from 1 species